CCCAAGGGGAUGCCCAUAACGGGCGAGUGAAGCGGCAAAAGCUCAAAUUUGAAAUCCCCCGGGAAUUGUAAUUUGAAGAGAUUUGGGUCCGGCCGGCGGGGGUUAAGUCCACUGGAAAGUGGCGCCACAGAGGGUGACAGCCCCGUGAACCCCUUCAACGCCUUCAUCCCAGAUCUCCAAGAGUCGAGUUGUUUGGGAAUGCAGCUCUAAGUGGGUGGUAAAUUCCAUCUAAAGCUAAAUACCGGCGAGAGACCGAUAGCGAACAAGUACAGUGAUGGAAAGAUGAAAAGCACUUUGAAAAGAGAGUGAAAAAGUACGUGAAAUUGUUGAAAGGGAAGGGCUUGCAAGCAGACACUUAACUGGGCCAGCAUCGGGGCGGCGGGAAGCAAAACCACCGGGGAAUGUACCUUUCGAGGAUUAUAACCCCGGUCUCUAUUUCCUUGUUGCCCCGAGGCCUGCAAUCUAAGGAUGCUGGCGUAAUGGUUGCAAGUCGCCCGUCUUGAAACACGGACCAAAA
rnacentral:rRNA from 1 species